AACAUAAAAUUUGCCCCAAAGCUUUCCAAUGGGUAACGGUAGGAGAGGAUAUAAAUUGACUUCCGAUACUAACUGAAUAUGCAAUAUCUGGACGAGUUAUUAUGAGAUAAUUAAGUUUGCCAACGAAUCUCCUAUACAUCUCAAGGUCCUCAAAUAGUUCACCAUCACCUGCUGUGUGUUGAAGAUUAGGAGUCAUUGGUGCACUGCAGAGUUUGGCAACUAAUUUCCUAUUUCUGCUAAUAAUCAAGGACAUACUUCUUCUGAGACGAGAAUAUGCA
rnacentral:misc_RNA from 1 species